rnacentral:misc_RNA from 1 species
AACUGAUACUACCUGCGGGAACCUGCGGAGGGAUCAUUUUUGGAUUCUAUCAAUAGUGCCGAUUACAUUCGUGUAGUCGACCUGUAAACAACAACUCUUGAACACUGCAUUGUGUCUGAUAUCAUAUUAAUAUAAAACAACUUUUAACAACGGAUCUCU